AGGACGGAAGAGGUCCAGGAUGCGGAGUCAAAGCAAAAUGAUGUUGAGCAAGCACAGAAGGAGAAGAAUGAUUUUGAAAGUCUCUCGAAACAUAUAAGGAGUGUCUCUCAGGACUUCCUGGUGUUGCAGCAGAAGCUGAACCAGAUCAUCAUGGCUCAUCAGGUCAACCCCACCAGCAACGGCAUGUUUACAAAAGGAAAGGUCAUGAAUGCUCCUCUGGGGACUGAUCCACAGCCCUCAGAAGAAGUAAAAAAUUCAUCCAAGGAGGAUGGAGCAAAAGAGCCUGAGAACAGUGAAGAAAAGGCCACG